rnacentral:lncRNA from 10 species
AUACAUAUUAAGCAUAUGAGAGGCACAUUUAUUCAUUCAUUCAUGUAUUAAAUAGUACUUUACUGAGCAUUUAUGCUAGGUGCUAUGGUAAAUGCAAGAUUGAAAUGGUAUUUUCUGCUCUCAACGAUCUUGAAAUGUAGUGUGAAGAAUAAAAUAAUUACAAAUACAAAUGCGUUAAUUGCAGUUCCAAAGUGCUGUGGCGAAUCCAAGGAAGAGACUAUUUCCAGUUGUAAAAUCAGAGUAGGCUUCAUGGAGAAAUGUACUUUGAACUGGGGCUUGAAGAACAGGUAAAAUUUUGAUGGACAGAGAUGAGGGGGGCAAAAUAUUCCACAUAAAGAGAAAAGUGCAGACAAGGGACUUGAUUAGAGAGAAAUAAGACGUCCUUGAGAAUGCAAAGAGUCUAUUUGGGCUGAGACAUAGUUUGCAAAUAGGUUUAGUAGAAGAAAAGGCUUUACAAGUAAUCUGAAGUCAGUUCAUAGAAGAAUUUGAAUGCCAUGUAAAGGUGUUUGAACUUUUGCCAGGUAGCUAUGGGGAGCAUGUAGGUUGAUUAACUGUCUACUUUAGAUGAUUAAUUAGCUUAUAAAGUGGACAGGACAGGAUGUGGAGAGACUAGUUAGGAACUUAUAGGCUCAGGUGAUCUAUGUAUCAGUCUGAAAUAGAGUGUUGGCAGUGUGUGUAGAAAGGAGGGAAUAUUUGGCAGAUCCUGUCUGUGCAAUUGGAUUUCAAGUAGAUCAAUAAGAAUAAGAACAAUGAAGACUUGUUGAAAGUUGAUUAGGUAAAUUAAUUUAUUUUGCAUUUAAACAAUAUGUGUUUGUGAAUUUUUGCAGAAAUAGUUGGCAGACCAGCAAUGGACACAAAAAAACCAAACUGAUUACCGCGAUCAUAGUUUGCAAGAUAAAAACUUGUAAAAGAUCAAAAGAUAGUAGAUUGUGGGGUGCUAGUGAAAGCAUCAUCAAAGUAACUUCCCAAGUAUUGCUGACUAAAUAAAGCACAGCUAGAAGAGAGUGAUUGGCUGGGGGAAUAAGUAGGAGUUUUUGUUUUUAGGCCAUAAGUAGGAGUUGAAUAGAUUCAAUAGAAGUGCAUAGUGGGAUAUGUGGUAAUUAGGAAGGGAUUUCCUGAAGGUGAAGCAGUUGGGGAUACUGACACUGAAGUUCAGGUUGUGGCUGUGUAUACCGAUGACUAAAAUGGAAAGGAGACAAAUAUCACUAGCAUUGAUGAAGCCAGGAUACUAGAGAAAUCCUCAGUGUAGUCAGGAUGGGGGAAAAGACCAUAAAGUGAAAUAGAACUAAGUUACUUACUAAGUUGCUAAUCUUUCAAGAAUUCCUUUUAUCAUUUCAAAUGCAAAUAUCAUUAUACUUAUUUUCUUAUUGACUCAA